rnacentral:rRNA from 1 species
GCUUAACACAUGCAAGUCGAACGAUGAAGCCCAGCUUGCUGGGUGGAUUAGUGGCGAACGGGUGAGUAACACGUGGGUGAUCUGCCCUGCACUUCGGGAUAAGCCUGGGAAACUGGGUCUAAUACCGGAUAGGACCUCGGGAUGCAUGUUCCGGGGUGGAAAGGUUUUCCGGUGCAGGAUGGGCCCGCGGCCUAUCAGCUUGUUGGUGGGGUAACGGCCCACCAAGGCGACGACGGGUAGCCGGCCUGAGAGGGCGACCGGCCACACUGGGACUGAGACACGGCCCAGACUCCUACGGGAGGCAGCAGUGGGGAAUAUUGCACAAUGGGCGCAAGCCUGAUGCAGCGACGCCGCGUGAGGGAUGACGGCCUUCGGGUUGUAAACCUCUUUCAGUACCGACGAAGCGCAAGUGACGGUAGGUACAGAAGAAGCACCGGCCAACUACGUGCCAGCAGCCGCGGUAAUACGUAGGGUGCGAGCGUUGUCCGGAAUUACUGGGCGUAAAGAGCUCGUAGGCGGUUUGUCGCGUCGUCUGUGAAAACCCGCAGCUCAACUGCGGGCUUGCAGGCGAUACGGGCAGACUUGAGUACUGCAGGGGAGACUGGAAUUCCUGGUGUAGCGGUGAAAUGCGCAGAUAUCAGGAGGAACACCGGUGGCGAAGGCGGGUCUCUGGGCAGUAACUGACGCUGAGGAGCGAAAGCGUGGGUAGCGAACAGGAUUAGAUACCCUGGUAGUCCACGCCGUAAACGG